rnacentral:rRNA from 1 species
GUCGAGGGGCAGCGGGGAUAAGCUUGCUUAUCCGCCGGCGACCGGCGCACGGGUGCGCAACGCGUAUAGAAUCUGCCCUGUACUGGGGAAUAGCCCAGAGAAAUUUGGAUUAAUGCCCCAUGGUAUGUAUUAGCGGCAUCGCUUGUACAUUAAAGGCUACGGUACAGGAUGACUAUGCGUCCCAUUAGUUAGUUGGUAAGGUAACGGCUUACCAAGGCAGCGAUGGGUAGGGGCCCUGAGAGGGGGAUCCCCCACACUGGUACUGAGACACGGACCAGACUCCUACGGGAGGCAGCAGUGAGGAAUAUUGGACAAUGGGCGGGAGCCUGAUCCAGCCAUGCCGCGUGCAGGAAGACGGUCCUAUGGAUUGUAAACUGCUUUUGUACGGGAAGAACAAGGGGCACGUGUGCCCCUCUGACGGUACCGUAAGAAUAAGGAUCGGCUAACUCCGUGCCAGCAGCCGCGGUAAUACGGAGGAUCCGAGCGUUAUCCGGAAUCAUUGGGUUUAAAGGGUCCGUAGGCGGGCCAUUAAGUCAGGGGUGAAAGUCUGCGGCUCAACCGUAGAAUUGCCCUUGAUACUGGUGGUCUUGAGUUAUGGUGAAGUAACUAGAAUAUGUAGUGUAGCGGUGAAAUGCAUAGAUAUUACAUAGAAUACCGAUUGCGAAGGCAGGUUACUAACCAUAUACUGACGCUGAUGGACGAAAGCGUGGGGAGCGAACAGGAUUAGAUACCCUGGUAGUCCACGCCGUAAACGAUGGAUACUAGCUGUCCGGAUGCAAAUCUGGGCGGCCAAGCGAAAGUGAUAAGUAUCCCACCUGGGGAGUACGUCCGCAAGGAUGAAACUCAAAGGAAUUGACGGGGGCCCGCACAAGCGGUGGAGCAUGUGGUUUAAUUCGAUGAUACGCGAGGAACCUUACCAGGGCUUAAAUGUGGUCUGACAGCUUUAGAGAUAGAGCCUCCUUCGGGCAGAUCACAAGGUGCUGCAUGGUUGUCGUCAGCUCGUGCCGUGAG